rnacentral:rRNA from 1 species
UACGUAGGGUCCGAGCGUUGUCCGGAAUUACUGGGCGUAAAGAGCUCGUAGGUGGUUUGUCGCGUUGUUCGUGAAAACUCACAGCUCAACUGUGGGCGUGCGGGCGAUACGGGCAGACUAGAGUACUGCAGGGGAGACUGGAAUUCCUGGUGUAGCGGUGGAAUGCGCAGAUAUCAGGAGGAACACCGGUGGCGAAGGCGGGUCUCUGGGCCGAUACUGACGCUGAGGAGCGAAAGCGUGGGGAGCGAAUGGG